AACGAACGCUGGCGGCAUGCCUAACACAUGCAAGUCGAACGAAACCUUCGGGUCUAGUGGCGCACGGGUGCGUAACGCGUGGGAACCUGCCCUUAGGUUCGGAAUAACUCCCCGAAAGGGGUGCUAAUACCGGAUAAUGUCUUCGGACCAAAGAUUUAUCGCCUUUGGAUGGGCCCGCGUUGGAUUAGCUAGUUGGUAGGGUAAAAGCCUACCAAGGCGACGAUCCAUAGCUGGUCUGAGAGGAUGAUCAGCCACACUGGGACUGAGACGCGGCCCAGACUCCUACGGGAGGGAGCAGUGGGGGAUAUUGCACAGUGGGCGGAAGGAUGAUCCAGCUAUGCCGGGUGAGUGAUGAAGGCAGUAGGGUUGUAAAGCUCUAUUACCCGGGAUGAUAAUGACAGUACCGGGAGAAUAAGCUACGGCUAACUCCGUG
rnacentral:rRNA from 1 species